rnacentral:rRNA from 1 species
UACAGAGGGGGCAAGCGUUAUUCGGAAUUAUUGGGCGUAAAGGGCGCGUAGGCGGCGAUUCAAGUGGCGGGUGAAAUCCCUCGGCUUAACCGAGGAACUGCCUGCCAGACUGGAUUGCUUGAGUCCGGGAGAGGUGAGUGGAAUUCCCAGUGUAGCGGUGAAAUGCGUAGAUAUUGGGAGGAACACCAGUGGCGAAGGCGGCUCACUGGACCGGAACUGACGCUGAGGUGCGAAAAGCGUGGGGAGCAAACAGGG